GACGAACGCUGGCGGCGUGCUUAAUACAUGCAAGUCGAACGGAAAGGCCCUGCUUUUGUGGGGUGCUCGAGUGGCGAACGGGUGAGUAACACGUGAGUAACCUGCCCUUGACUUUGGUAUAACUUCAGGAAACUGGGGCUAAUACCGGAUAGGAGCUCCUGCUGCAUGGUGGGGGUUGGAAAGUUUCGGCGGUUGGGGAUGGACUCGCGGCUUAUCAGCUUGUUGGUGGGGUAGUGGCUUACCAAGGCUUUGACGGGUAGCCGGCCUGAGAGGGUGACCGGCCACAUUGGGACUGAGAUACGGCCCAGACUCCUACGGGAGGCAGCAGUGGGGAAUAUUGCACAAUGGGCGGAAGCCUGAUGCAGCAACGCCGCGUGCGGGAUGACGGCCUUCGGGUUGUAAACCGCUUUCGCCUGUGACGAAGCGUGAGUGACGGUAAUGGGUAAAGAAGCACCGGCUAACUACGUG
rnacentral:rRNA from 1 species